GAAAAAAUCAGCUUCAUUAUUGGAAAAAGGGAAGUGUGUAGAAAGAUGGAAAGCGGAGUUAAAGGAAUGAAACAAGGGGGAAAGAGGAAGCUAGUAAUUCCAAGGAAAAGUGGAGCUGAGGAAUUUGAAGUGGAAUUACUUACUGUCGGGU